UACGUAGGGUGCAAGCGUUAAUCGGAAUUACUGGGCGUAAAGCGUGCGCAGGCGGUGAUGUAAGACAGUUGUGAAAUACCCGGGCUCAACCUGGGAACUGCAUCUGUGACUGCAUCGCUGGAGUGCGGCAGAGGGGGAUGGAAUUCCGCGUGUAGCAGUGAAAUGCGUAGAUAUGCGGAGGAACACCGAUGGCGAAGGCAAUCCCCUGGGCCUGCACUGACGCUCAUGCACGAAAGCGUGGGGAGCAAACAGG
rnacentral:rRNA from 1 species